UGCAGUCGAACGCUGAAGCCGGGUGCUUGCACCUGGUGGAUGAGUGGCGAACGGGUGAGUAACACGUGAGUAACCUGCCCCUGAUUUCGGGAUAAGCCUGGGAAACUGGGUCUAAUACCGGAUAUGACCUUUCCUCGCAUGAGGGUUGGUGGAAAGUUUUUCGAUUGGGGAUGGGCUCGCGGCCUAUCAGCUUGUUGGUGGGGUAAUGGCCUACCAAGGCGACGACGGGUAGCCGGCCUGAGAGGGCGACCGGCCACACUGGGACUGAGACACGGCCCAGACUCCUACGGGAGGCAGCAGUGGGGAAUAUUGCACAAUGGGGGAAACCCUGAUGCAGCGACGCAACGUGCGGGAUGACGGCCUUCGGGUUGUAAACCGCUUUCAGCAGGGAAGAAGCGAAAGUGACGGUACCUGCAGAAGAAGUACCGGCUAACUACGUGCCAGCAGCCGCGGUAAUACGUAGGGUACGAGCGUUGUCCGGAAUUAUUGGGCGUAAAGAGCUCGUAGGUGGUUGGUCACGUCUGCUGUGGAAACGCAACGCUUAACGUUGCGCGGGCAGUGGGUACGGGCUGACUAGAGUGCAGUAGGGGAGUCUGGAAUUCCUGGUGUAGCGGUGAAAUGCGCAGAUAUCAGGAGGAACACCGGUGGCGAAGGCGGGACUCUGGGCUGUAACUGACACUGAGGAGCGAAAGCAUGGGGAGCGAACAGGAUUAGAUACCCUGGUAGUCCAUGCCGUAAACGUUGGGCACUAGGUGUGGGGGACAUUCCACGUUCUCCGCGCCGUAGCUAACGCAUUAAGUGCCCCGCCUGGGGAGUACGGUCGCAAGGCUAAAACUCAGAGGAAUUUGACGGGGGCCCGCACAAGCGGCGGAGCAUGCGGAUUAAUUUCGAUGCAACGC
rnacentral:rRNA from 1 species